UUGUGAUAGGAAUAUUUAGAAGAGUGAAAAAUCAGGCUGGCUUUAAACAUUAAAAUGUAGCUUCACUAAAUUAAUUAAUUAACAUCAUAUUUCUUGAUCAUGGCUAAAUCUUAUAGAAUAUUAAUCAUUACUGUUUUGUACACAAACCUGUUAGUCUUUAACACUUAUCCUGAAUUAGCUGUGAGCACGCAAUAUCAAGGAGCUGAUGCCGGGUAGUUGUGUUUAAAGGAAUCCACACAACAAAUGUUAGUCUUCAUCCCAGGGGCUCAUGCAUCAAGUUCCAGAUCCCAUGGGUAUGAAAGCCAACAAAUGCUGUAGGACUGUUCUUUUUAAGUACCGUAUUUAAUGCACUUUUUGAUGAGGUUAGGGUAUUGGGAUGCAGUGUUCAUAACUACAUGAUGUGCAGUGAGGCUAAAUUAAGAUUCUCAUUUUUUUUAACUACUCAAUACUGUGAACUGUACAAUCUGAUACAGUCUGUAGAAUUUUCAUUUGGAUCAAAGCCAAUGCUUGUAAUGUGUCUGAAAAUGUAAACCUUGGACAGUUCUGAUGUCUAAAUUCUCUAAAUUCCAAUGAACAGUAGCUAUAGUACUGUUUUAUUUCACGAUGCCAUACUCAUUUAUCAGCAAUUAUCUUGAACUUUGUCCCUUUUUGAUUUUAUAGAGUUAACAGUUGAUGAAAUCAGAACGGUACAGUGCAGGCAGUAUUGCUGAAACUCUUGUAAUGAUUAGCUUGGCAACAUAUCCUUAAAGUGAACGACAGAAAUUUACUCCAAAUUUUUUUCUUUUUUUUUUCACACAUCCAUGAGAGGACGAGGUCAUAAGUAAAGAACAAUUUUGUGAAAUUAAGCUUCAAAUUAAUUCAAUAUUUUCUUUUUAUAUUUUAUGAGUGGGCUCUGAAAAUCUCUCUUGAAACUCAGGGAUAGUUCACACUUUCUAACUUUUGGCUCCCGCUGAUUAGAGCUGUGGAGUGAAACUGAGUGAGUUUCAAUAUGGUGAUAUAUUUAUCUUCCCAUUGUGCAUAAAGGGAGCUUAGGAAAAUCAGGUUUGGUUGGAAAUAUUAAGUUAGUGCCUAAAAGAAGCUGGUGGAAAGCUCACCCUGUUCAUUGUUGGUCAGUGAUUUUCCAGAAUGACAAGAAAGCUGAAGCCAUCCAAGUGUGUUGUUGACAGAAAAGGACUUCUAGAAGAUACUUGCCUUUGAUCUCCUGCCAUACUCUGCUAUGGAAGUUAUCAAGUGUUCUCAGGACUGCUAGAGCAAAUUUUGCCCUCUGAAUGCUCUUAUCCAUCAGAGCUGUGUCCCAUAUCUCUAACAGCUGUCACAGUGUUCUCACAGAGUUAUCUGCAUCUGAAGGAGAGCAGGUGUUAUUUCUAGCACUCCUUCGUGGCCUGGCAUCAGCAGUCUCUCACUGUCACCGCAGGACCAUGGCAAUGCUCCAAACUGUGAGUUUCCCACAAACACCGGAUGGCAGGAAUCUAGGGAUCAACCAGAAGGCCCCCACUCAAUUUUCUGAUAUAAAACUAUAGCACUUAGGAGCUUUGUUUCACCUAACUGUACUCUUUUUCAUUCAGUCAUAUUAAGGGAAUAUUAGAGUUCAAAUUGUCAUAAUCCUAAGGACAGGAGGACUCAUUUUUGCUUGUUUUGGGUAUAUACUCUGGUCUCAUAAAAAUCAUAUUCUUAGCUAAAUGAAAAAAAAAAAGCUUCCUUUUCAACACCUCUUUCAAAUAUGGGAAACAGAUGGCUCUCUUCAUGCUUCAUGACUAUUACCACUUGAUGUGAAGUAUCUCCACUGUUUGAGUUUGACACAUGCAAGGGCACUGCUCUCUGCUUUAACACAUCUUCUGCAUCUUGAAGAUAUCUAGGCAUGCUAUGAGACACCAGUUCUGAACAGUUUCUUAAGCUAUGGUAGUUCUAUGAUGUAGUUGCUAUAAAUAAAAAAGAAAAAAAUCCAGUGACUAUUAUGGAGAAUAUGGUACCUCAGACCAGUUAAACCUCUAUAUUGCCCAGCUGCCCAGUGACAAGUGACUGUUAAAAGGAAGAACCAUCUCUAUUUUACCUCUCUGACUCAAUUGGAUAGAUCAGAGCACGAUCCAGGUACAUGACCCUUUUCUGCUAACAAGGCAAAAUCACAUAGAAGGAUCAGGUUUUUUUCUGGAUAGCUUCAGACAGCUCUAGGUAACUUAGCUUGCCUAUUUAAAGUUCCCAUUUGUCAGUUUUUAAGGAAUCAUGUAAGAGAAUAAUUCAGUCUGAAAGAAAAAGAAAUUGGAGAAUCGGAAAGAAUUAGUGUUGAACUCAUGAGUCUAAAAAACUCCACAGGUUUUUUUGCUUUUGGAUUUGCCAUUUCUUUGCUACCUACUUGUUCUCCAAACUGUAGCUUACUAAUUUUGGAACUUCUUAAUGAAUGAGGGGCUUUCAUUAAAGAUCUUGAGCAGUGUAAAUGAUACUUUCUAUACCUUUCAACAAUGAAGUUUGUUGUUUUUUUUUUUUAAAUUGCAAAGUAAGAUUUUAAAAAGUAAAAGAUGCAUAGUAAAAUUUCAUCAGUUUUAAGUUAAUAUAAUAGAGUAAAAUUUCCUCAACUAAUUUCAAGGAAACUUGUGCUACUGGUUUUCCACACUGAAGUUAAUUAGAACCUUAAGGUUUUCUUAUAUUGCAACAUUCAGUACCCUGAGUCAGAAAAGACUGAGUGUGGAACUCUCAUAAACACAACACAUAAAUUAGAGAACUCCAGCUGUGACAUACUGUUAUACACAAAACCCUAGAAAAAAAGUCAGAAUCUUUAUAAGUCAUCAUUAUGGUGUGGUGCUGCAGAAAAGAAAAGCCCUAUGUACUACAUGGAACUCUUGUUAUUUAUUUCUUUUCCUCCAGUGACUUUUCUUCCUCCAUUGACUUCAUUGACAACUGAAAGAAAUACUAAAGAAAACAGUUGUCUCAGUUAUUGUGCAAAAGGUAACAGCUCUUUCUGUUUCAGCUAUAUUUUGAAGUAGAGUACAUUUUGAAGUCUAAUUGUA